rnacentral:lncRNA from 13 species
UAUAAAUAUACACAAAGUAUUGUUUUCUUAGACUGGUCUUCAUUCAUAAUCUAUUACGUCCUUAUACAUUCAUAUGAUCUUCAGUGUCAACAGCUGGAAAAUCUAGUAGGCCUACUAAUUCAACACAUAUUAGGCCUACUAAUUCAACACAUAUCAGGCCUACUAAUUCAACACAUAUCAGGCCUACUAAUUCAACACAUCAGGCCUACUAAUUCAACACAUAUCAGACCUACUAAUUCUACACAUAUUAGGUCUACUAAUUCUAUUAGGCCUACUAAUUCAACACAUAUUAGGCCUACUAAUUAUAUUAGGCCUACUAAUUCUACACGUAUUAAGUCUACUAAUUCUAUUAGGCCUACUAAUUCUAUUAAGCCUACUAAUUCUAUUAGGCCUACUAAUUCUACACGUAUUAAGUCUACUAAUUCAACACAUAUCAGGCCUACUAAUUCAACACAUAUCAGGCCUACUAAUUCAACACAUAUCAGGCCUACUAAUUCUACACAUAUCAGUCCUACUAAUUCAACACAUAUCAGACCUACUAAUUCUACACAUUCUAAUUCUACAAAUUCUAUUAAGCCUACUAAUUCCAUUAGGCCUACUAAUUCUACACAUAUUAAGUCUACUAAUUCUAUUAGGCCUAUUAAUUCUACACAUAUUAGGCCUAUUAAUUCUAUUAAGCCUACUAAUUCUAUUAGCCUACUAAUUCAGCACAUAUUAGGCCUACUAAUUCUAUUAAGCCUACUAAUUCUAUUAGGCCUACAAAUUCAGCACAUAUUAGGCCUACUAAUUCUAUUAAGCCUUACUAAUUCUAUUAGGCCUACUAAUUCUACACGUAUUAAGUCAACUAAUUCUAUUAGGCCUACUAAUUAUAUUAAGGCAACUAAUUCUAUUAGGCCUACUAAUUCUACACGUAUUAAGCCUACUAAUUCUACACAUAUUAGGCCAACUAAUUCUAUUAGGCCUACUAAUUCUACACGUAUUAAGUCUACUAAUUCUACACAUAUCAGGCCUACAAAUUCAACACAUAUCAGACCUACUAAUUCUACACAUAUCAGGCCUACUAAUUCUACACAUAUUAGGCCUACAAAUUCUAUUAAGCCUACUAUUUCCAUUAGGCCUACUAAUUCUACACAUAUUAAGUCUACUAAUUCUAUUAGGCCUAUUAAUUCUACACAUAUUAGGCCUACUAAUUCUAUUAGGCCUACUAAUUC